CACGUAGGGGGCAAGCGUUGUCCGGAAUCAUUGGGCGUAAAGCGCGUGUAGGCGGUUCGGUAAGUCGGCUGUGAAAGUCAAGGGCUCAACCCUUGAAAGCCGGUUGAUACUGUCGGGCUAGAGUCCGGAAGAGGCGAGUGGAAUUCCCGGUGUAGCGGUGAAAUGCGCAGAUAUCGGGAGGAACACCAAUGGCGAAGGCAGCUCGCUGGGACGGUACUGACGCUGAGACGCGAAAGCGUGGGGAGCAAACAGG
rnacentral:rRNA from 1 species